CUACGGGAGGCAGCAGUGGGGAAUUUUCCGCAAUGGGCGAAAGCCUGACGGAGCAACGCCGCGUGAGGGAUGAAGGCCUCUGGGCUGUAAACCUCUUUUAUCAAGGAAGAAGAUCUGACGGUACUUGAUGAAUAAGCCACGGCUAAUUCCGUGCCAGCAGCCGCGGUAAUACGGGAGUGGCAAGCGUUAUCCGGAAUUAUUGGGCGUAAAGCGUCCGCAGGCGGUCUUAUAAGUCUGCUGUUAAAGCGUGGAGCUUAACUCCAUUUCGGCAGUGGAAACUGUAAGACUAGAGUGUGGUAGGGGCAGAGGGAAUUCCCGGUGUAGCGGUGAAAUGCGUAGAUAUCGGGAAGAACACCAGUGGCGAAGGCGCUCUGCUGGGCCAUAACUGACGCUCAUGGACGAAAGCCAGGGGAGCGAAAGGGAUUAGAUACCCCUGUAGUCCUGGCCGUAAACGAUGAACACUAGGUGUCGGGGGAAUCGACCCCCUCGGUGUCGUAGCCAACGCGUUAAGUGUUCCGCCUGGGAAGUAUGCUCGCAAGAGUGAAACUCAAAG
rnacentral:rRNA from 1 species